rnacentral:rRNA from 1 species
GAUGAACGCUGGCGGCGUGUCUAAUACAUGCAAGUCGAGCGAACAGACGUGGAGCUUGCUCCUCUGACGUUAGCGGCGGACGGGUGAGUAACACGUGGAUAACCUACCUUUAACACUGGGAUAACUUCGGGAAACCGGAGCUAAUACCGGAUAAUAUAUUGAACCGCAUGGUUCAAUAGUGAAAGACGGUUUUGCUGUCAUUUAUAGGUGGAUCCGCGCCGCAUUAGCUAGUUGGUAAGGUAACGGCUUACCAAGGCAACGAUGCGUCGCCGACCUGAGAGGGUGAUCGGCCACACUGGAACUGAGACACGGUCCAGACUCCUACGGGAGGCAGCAGUAGGGACUCUUCCGCAAUGGGCGAAAGCCUGACGGAGCAACGCCGCGUGAGUGAUGAAGGUCUUCGGAUCGUAAAACUCUGUUAUUAGGGAAGAACGAAUGUGUAAGUAACUAUGCACGUCUUGACGGUACCUAAUCAGAAAGCCACGGCUAACUACGUG